rnacentral:rRNA from 1 species
UGGGGAAUAUUGCACAAUGGGCGCAAGCCUGAUGCAGCCAUGCCGCGUGUGUGAAGAAGGCCUUCGGGUUGUAAAGCACUUUCAGCGGGGAGGAAGGCGAUAAGGUUAAUAACCUCAUCGAUUGACGUUACCCGCAGAAGAAGCACCGGCUAACCCCGGGCCAGCAGCCGCGGUAAUACGGAGGGUGCAAGCGUUAAUCGGAAUUACUGGGCGUAAAGCGCACGCAGGCGGUAUGUCAAGUCGGAUGUGAAAUCCCCGGGCUCAACCUGGGAACUGCAUUCGAAACUGGCAGGCUAGAGUCUUGUAGAGGGGGGUAGAAUUCCAGGUGUAGCGGUGAAAUGCGUAGAGAUCUGGAGGAAUACCGGUGGCGAAGGCGGCCCCCUGGACGAAGACUGACGCUCAGGUGCGAAAGCGUGGGGAGCAAACAGG